rnacentral:rRNA from 1 species
CCUACGGGGGGCUGCAGUCGAGAAUCAUUCACAAUGGGGGAAACCCUGAUGGUGCGACGCCGCGUGGGGGAAUGAAGGUCUUCGGAUUGUAAACCCCUGUCAUGUGGGAGCAAAUUAAAAAGAUAGUACCACAAGAGGAAGAGACGGCUAACUCUGUGCCAGCAGCCGCGGUAAUACAGAGGUCUCAAGCGUUGUUCGGAAUCACUGGGCGUAAAGCGUGCGUAGGCUGUUUCGUAAGUCGUGUGUGAAAGGCGCGGGCUCAACCCGCGGACGGCACAUGAUACUGCGAGACUAGAGUAAGGGAGGGGGAAGCGGAAUUCUCGGUGUAGCAGUGAAAUGCGUAGAUAUCGAGAGGAACACUCGUGGCGAAGGCGGGUUCCUGGACAUUAACUGACGCUGAGGCACGAAGGCCAGGGGAGCGAAAGGGAUUAGAUACCCGGGUAGUC